GGGGGCGUAUUCCAAUUGGCAGAGAAGGGGGACUUAAAAUCCCUACAGUGUGGGUUCGACUCCCACCGCCCCUACCA
rnacentral:tRNA from 1 species